AUAAUACUCCCUCCGUCCGGAAUUACUUGUCAUCAAAAUGGAUGUGUCUAGAACUAAAAUACAUCUAGAUACAUCCAUUUCAAUGACAAGUAUUUUCAAACGGAUGGAGUAGUAG
rfam:Triticum aestivum genome assembly, contig: Triticum_aestivum_CS42_TGACv1_scaffold_148338_2BS